UACGGGGGGGGCAAGCGUUGUUCGGAAUCACUGGGCGUAAAGCGCACGUAGGCGGAUCUUUAAGUCAGGGGUGAAAUCCUGGAGCUCAACUCCAGAACUGCCUUUGAUACUGAGGAUCUCGAGUCCGGAAGAGGUGAGUGGAACUCCGAGUGUAGAGGUGAAAUUCGUAGAUAUUCGGAAGAACACCAGUGGCGAAGGCGGCUCACUGGUCCGGUACUGACGCUGAGGUGCGAAAGCGUGGGGAGCAAACAGG
rnacentral:rRNA from 1 species